GUUUAGAAUAUAUUCUCAGCCUUUCUUGCUUGAGGAAUAUAUCAGAUGGCUUACAGUAUUGCAAAGAAAAAUAUGAUCGGAACCAGCGAGACAUAUUGCUUGUUGAAUAUGAGGACAAGACACAUCUUCAGUGUUGCUCCUUUGACGGCUACAGGCGUUGUUUAAAAAUGUUGAUGGAGACACAAGAUGGUUGCCGGGAAGGGACGUCUGAAGUCAUUGAAGAAAUUGCAUCAAGACUGGGCGGAAGCUUGUCAGAAAACGCAUGUACACAAUACUUCGAACGCUGUACUGGUGGCGGAGCUGCUGGGAUUCAGACAAUUUUAUCUAUAUAUUUGUUAAUUUUAGCUUCAUUUACGAGUGCUUUACUAGCCAAAAUAUUGUGAGCUGUACAAAUCUUUGUAUAUUUAAAAAUUUUUGUAAAUUAGAACUGAAAUCUUAUUUUCAGAUUUCUUUUUCAUGGAAACUUGACAUCAGGUAGGAGAAUCAUUGCACCUUCAUACCACUGAGAUUGUAUUUUUUGAACAGAUUGCAUUUUAAAUGAAUUUCAGUGAGGAUUCGUUUAUAUGGCUUCUUGAAGAAUAAUGUUCAUUGAAAUUCGAUGAGAUCAACACAUUUUAUUUUCACUAUCAAACCUUGUUUAUGUAUAUACUGAACAAAAUAUAUACUAUGAUUGUUUAUUCUGAAAUUCUGUAACACUAUUUUUUGUUCAACUAAACGAAUGAACGAAAUUUGUUUACUUUAAAGUUGAAUAUAGUAAUAAUAUUUAGAGUAUAUAGAUAACUGGUUCAAACUUCACAUAAAAGAAAAUUUGGUUCACUGUUAUGAAUAUAACUUUUGCAUAAUUUUCACUAAGUAAUAAUUAAACAUGAUGUUUUAAUUCAGUUUGAUAAUUAUUUGCUCAGAAGUUUAUUUCCUACCAUGCUUAAUUGUUGUGUGUAUAAAAGGCAGCGUACCGCCAUAUUUUAAGUGCAUGUAAAAAACAUUGUUUCCCCUUUUUGCAUAAAAUGAUAGAAAAAGGAUGGAUAUUUUUAUUGAAUCGCAAAAAGUGAUGCGUAAACACAGGGUGCAAACGUUUGGUUAAAUUUGAUACUGAAGACGUGUAAAUUUUGUUUCCUGUCAACGUCUAAAAGUUUUCAGUCAUUUUAAAAUAAAGAGAUUUACAUUUUGUUCAAAAAGUAUUGAACAUGAAAUCAUAUUAACAAAAUAUUCUCACAGAAUAAUUUUAUAACCAUAUUCAAAAUGAUGUGAGCUUCAAUUUAACAAUUUUUGAUAAUGAAAUCACUUAGAUUGUCAUUAUCUUUUAUACUGCCAUUUAUUUAUUUUAACUCUGGGAAUAAAACUGUUUAAAUGCUUUU